rnacentral:tRNA from 1 species
CAGCUGCAGGGUGGGCACGACCACGUCGUCGACGUCGUUGUGGCGCCCGACGACCGUGGCCGGUUCCAGGCCGGCGCGGCUGGC